UCAGUGAAAGGAAAAUUUGGCAGAAAAAGGAAAAGCAAAAUGAGGGCUUUAGGUAAAUAUAGCCAGGCAUUUGGGAUUGGGGCACGACGGCUGUUGCUCUGGCCGGCGUUGGGCGACCGGCGGCGUGACGGAGACCACCAAGCAGGUGGGGAUUAGGGCAUGUUGGUGACUUUUCCGGUUGGUCUUCUCGGAGAGUCGAGGAGGCAACUGGAUGGGUCGGCGGGGGGCAUCAACCAUGAGCGACGUGCCGGUCUUGCGAGGGCAGGAUAGCAAGAGAUGAAGACGAUUCACAGGUUGCAUCUGACAGGGGCAAACCUGAUACAUCAGAGUGAGCCGCAUGAGCAAAUGCUUCUCUUUCAAAAUGGUGGAGGAAAUGAUCAGUUCGAUAGACUUGCCGAGGGACUUGACGACCUCUUCUGCGCAAUCUCUGCUAUAGCUCUUGUUCUUCAUGGAGCACCUGACAUGGAAAUCAGUAACAAAAUCCCACCAGACCCAGGGCCUCCCGGUCUCAUUUCCAACUCUGUGAACGCAGAGCUGCCUCAAGUUCUCGAUCACCACAUCCUUGCCAUCGUACCCCUCGCUGAAGUCCUGCUCGGGAUCAGAACCAGGUGAUGUAGCGCGGCGUGAACUGAGUGAAGCCUCCCCUCUCAAGCAGCUGCGCGUGGCCCUUGAAGUUCUUGACGAAGCUCAUCUGGUCGUCGCACCGAGGGCCGCACUCGUCGUUGCUGUUGGUCCAGAACUCGUACUCCACCCGCUCGUCGGGGGUUGUCCAUGGUGAGGAGGGGCUCGUCGAUGUUGUCAGCGACCAGAACUGCAGCUGCGCCAGCUUGCUGUGCGUUCCAUGCCUUCAAAGCAAAGUAACAAUCUGGAGCAAGUAGAAGAACAAGCAGCAAGAAGCAAGAAUUGGUGGUGGCUCACCUCCUCGGUCAACUAGAAGGAUGGCAGGGCGCCUACUGGCCCCCGUCUUGAAGGGCUCGCCGUCGAAAGCGUUGCAGGCCGUGGAGUUCACCUGGUACUUCAC